GACAGAGGGUGCAAACGUUGUUCGGAAUUACUGGGCGUAAAGCGAGUGUAGGCGGUCUGCUAAGUCGGGUGUGAAAGCCCCGGGCUCAACCCGGGAAGUGCACUCGAAACUGGUAGGCUAGAGUAUCGGAGAGGUUGGUGGAAUUCUCGGUGUAGAGGUGAAAUUCGUAGAUAUCGAGAGGAACACCGGUGGCGAAGGCGGCCAACUGGACGAAUACUGACGCUGAGACUCGAAAGCGUGGGGAGCAAACAGG
rnacentral:rRNA from 1 species